GUAAGGCUGGUCUGAGAGCAAGGUCAAGAUAAAGAGCCAUAUCCUAAAAAAAAAGAGAAGCAGCCAAAAGCUGUUUGGGUGUACGGGAGGUGAGCUUGGGAAUACCUCAGUGGCGAAGGGAUGUCAGAGGUAGUAUGAGGUGAAAAGAGCUGUUGGAAUACAUAACAGUGCUAAAUUGCUGGAUUGUCUUCCACCAUUCUUCAUCACCAUCCCAACAGCUUAAGGAUAGAGAUUUCUAUCACGAAAUCCCUACUACCUACUAUAGCCACUCAAUAGGUGGACAGCAAAAAUCUGUUGCAUUGAAUUGAUCCUAUUAACUCUCCCUUAAAGACCAUUCUUUAGAACUUCUU
rnacentral:lncRNA from 1 species